CCUACGGGGAGCUGCAGUGGGGGAUAUUGCACAAUGGGGGGAACCCUGAUGCAGCGACGCCGCGUGGGUGAAGAAGCGCCUCGGCGCGUAAAGCCCUGUCAGCAGGGAAGAAAAUGACGGUAACUGAAGAAGAAGCCCCGGCUAACUACGUGCCAGCAGCCGCGGUAAUACGUAGGGGGCAAGCGUUAUCCGGAUUUACUGGGUGGAAAGGGGGCGCAGACGGCGAUGCAAGCCAGGAGUGAAAGCCCGGGGCCCAACCCCGGGACUGCUCUUGGAACUGCGUGGCUGGAGUGCAGGAGGGGCAGGCGGAAUUCCUGGUGUAGCGGUGAAAUGCGUAGAUAUCAGGAGGAACACCGGUGGCGAAGGCGGCCUGCUGGACUGCAACUGACGUUGAGGCCCGAAAGCGUGGGGAGCAAACAGGAUUAGAUACCCUUGUAGUC
rnacentral:rRNA from 1 species